UUUGUGUUUUCUUUUUUUUUUUUUUUUCUUUUCCUUCUUUUUUCUUUUUCAAAAGCCGAGGCACAAAAAUAUAAACAUGUCUUCAGAUCAAGAAGAGAAUGAGAAAGAGAAAGAGUCAUCUCCUUUUUCUCCAAACAGCUCUGUAGAAGAAAUAGGGGGAUUUCAAUUUGUUUUGACGGAUGAAAAAUUGGAAGAAACUUUUUAU
rnacentral:ribozyme from 13 species